UGAUGAGAAGUUUCCGGAAUCGCUGUACCACGCUGAUGAUUCCCUUGAACCCUUGUCUGUCUGAUGACUGCAGCUGUGCUGUAGC
rfam:Opisthocomus hoazin contig51429, whole genome shotgun sequence.